GGGUUGUAGCUCAAUGAUAAAGCAUUUGCCUAGCAUGUGUGAGACCCUGGGUUCAACCCCCAGUAACACA
rnacentral:tRNA from 1 species